rnacentral:lncRNA from 10 species
CUGUUAGUAUUUUGGCUAUUUAACUCACUCCAUGAUUUCCACCACUCUCUAUCCCCUCACCAUAAUUUUUUCUUCAUAAACUCAUUGUCCUUUUUACUUACUACUUUAUUUUCUAUCUUCUUUACCACAUUUUGUCCAUCUGUCCACUACAACCCCAGGUCCUAUAAUAGUGCCUGGCAUACAGAAGGCAUGCACGCCCUUAAUCUUUGUUGAAUAAAUGA